CUUUAUUCCGAUUAUUUGGAGUCGGCCACCCUCAUUUUAAACUUCCAAUUGACUAUCUCCCACAUCGUGCUUGCAUGUUUCAUACACCCACCAUCCUCAUAUUCUUACUUGCAUCCAACCACCUUUUUUUCAUUCUUCCUCCUAUGUUCGUUUACAUUAUAAUUCUUUCUGCUUCUGAUCAUUUUCUUUCAUUUUGUCCACUAUCAAAGCCACACCAAA